UCUGGGUGCAUUGGCAUGCACCUGUAGUCCCAGCUACUUGGGAGGCUGAGGCUGGGGAGAUUGCUUGAGUCCAGGAAUUCUGGGCCAUAGUGUGCUAUGCCGAUCAGGUGUCUGAACUAAGUUCAUCAUCCAUAUGGUGACCUCCCAGGAGCAGGGAACCAUCCGGUUGGAGGGGAGGGGUGAACCAGCCCAGGUUAGAAUUGGUGCCAGUAAACUUCCAGGCUGAUCGGUGGUGGGAAUGCGCCCGUGAACAGCCACUGCACUCUAGCCUGGGCAACAUAGUGAGACCCUGUGUCU
rnacentral:SRP_RNA from 1 species